rnacentral:lncRNA from 1 species
UGAAUGUAAUGCUGCGAAACUAAUGGAAUACUUUCUGUUGUUGUUUUUCUGACUAAUUUUCAACAGUUGGGGUUUUACUGUUUAUACUGAAAAGCAGCAGUGGUAUUUCUGCUGUAAAGGGAAUGAUUCUCAGCAGGACUGGGUCACCUCCAUUAUCAGAGUGAAGCAUGCCAGUGACUUAUGGCCUAAAGACCUAAAGCAGAGUGCAUCGUUACCUUAUAACCUGAGCAGAGGAAGAACAUCCACUUACAGCACUGCAAAGACCAGCACAGCCAAACAUCAGAGAGAGGCUAAAGGGAAGUCAGUCCUCACUACAAGUAUAGAAGGUUCAAAUACACGAAACCAGAUGACCACAGAUGUGAGCAACCAACCGGACUUGAUGCAUAAAUUGGCAAGCAGUGAAGGAACUCCGAGUGUCUCCGGGCUUAAAAUGGUGAUUGAUGACACACUCCAGUCUCUGCGUAGACCAUCACUUCAACAAGACCCCAGCACUCUCACCCAGCUAUCACACAAGAAGGCUGUGUUGCCCAGCAGAGGUGCGCAGUUGCCAAAAAACCUCAUUAAUGAACUAAGUACUGUUCUCAACAAAACAGGACGCUUUCUGAAAGAAGACAAUUAAGAGAGACAUACAGAGACAGAAAGACGAGACACUUGUCUGUUGCUCUUCCAUUGUGCAUGAGGAAAAACCAAGACCAAAUCACCCCACAAAAGCUCAGUUGGUUCUCAGUAAGGAAGUUGGAUGUACUACUCAGGACAUGGAGAGUAAGUACAGUAAAUGUUUAAACUGAGGUAAACUGGUGGGUCAAACAUUGGAUGUAAAGACUUUUUUUGCGCACAACUACAGCUGUUUGCCAUAGGUUGCAUUGAGCCUUUAUCCUUCAAUUUAGAACCAUAUAAUUCAGUAUUAUUGAACAUUAAUGAUUGUUUUAGGCUUUUGCAUGAUAAUAUGCAUUUCCCUCUUCAUUCUCAUAUCUGUUUUUAUUCUCAAUGAGGUUGAAAAAGACACUACUAGACAACAAUGUUCCAGUAUCAUCUUAAAUCUUCAUAUUUUGAAACUGGUUGUUCUGAGAUAAGUGGAAUGGUAACAUUAGCAUUAGUUAAAGUUGGCAUGAAAUAGAAUUUUACCCUAUUUUCUAAAUUCUUAAUAUUAAUCAUAUUGUGAACGAUUCGUCCAUGCAGUUUUUUUUGUUUUUUUUUGGCCUCAUAAUUUUCAGUUAAAAAAUCAUAAAUAGAUCUUCCAGUGAAACAACAGUUGGAUACACAUUCAUAGUCAGAUGUGCAUCACAAUCCGAAAAAAAAGGAUCUUGUGCUUCCAGGAGAAAAAAAAGUGCACUUCCAUAAUGUACUUACAACACAACUCUAAUCUGUUAGGUAUAAUGAACAGUUACCAAUACUUUUACAGCAUUAGUUAGUCUAGGUUAAAGUUCAUUUCUACAAAUUUAACACAUUUUUAACAUUUCA